ACGGGGGGCGUGGCUUGUCUCGGCCCCGCCCAGGAGGCGUAACGGGGCCUGACUGCGCGUGCGCGCGAGGCCCGCAGCGGCCCGGCUCUCCAUGGCGGCCUGAGGCCCUCCUGUUGUUGCGCGGGUCUGAACUCCACCAAGCCCUCCUCAAAGGAGCGCUCCGUCCGCACAGACGCCGCUCCUGGCCGAGGGCUCCUGACCAGGAAGGUGGACGAGGGCUGUACACCGGCAACCCCAACCUCCGAGGGGACGGGAAACAAAUUUCACGCGAGGUUUCGGAACUGUCGCGAGAAUCGGAACGGGAAACGAGGCGUCCAAAAGGAAAAGCCCGCGGGUUUUAAGCCAGGGAAGAACGGGAACCGGCAGGUGCUGAUGGUGGCACUAGGCAGCCCCUUGGCUGGGGGACGCAUGAAGUGUUGACCUGGGAGCAGAAGUGAACCGAGGGUUGCAGAAGGUUCUGGAAAAGGCGCGAGGGGGCUUGCCUAGCGGAGGACGGAGGCCCUCGGGGAGGCCCCUGCUGUGGCCGACAGUGGCCUUGGGGCGGCGAUCGUCCCCCCGAGGUAGAGCCGGAGCUGUCCAGGAGAGCUAAAGGACUGUGAGCGUCCAGCGCUGGCAGCCACUGCCAAUCUGCAGCGUCAGGGUCCCAGGCGCUCCCUCCACCUUUUCGUUCCCGGUGUUUGCUGUUAGUCUUUGCCAUACCUUGCGCCCCUACUAGAAACCACGCCUGGUUCCCCACUGUGUUUUAUGACUCUCUACCCCCGCGACUGGCUGCUGAGUAAGUUCUUGGGAAGCAUUUGUGCAUUAAACGUGAAAGACUCCCGGACUCUGAAAGAUGACUUUGAACUGAAUUUGCUGUCACUGAUGAAGAGGCUAGGGAUUAAAUCGACGGAGAACGAGCGCCCUCUGGUGUCUCUAGGAUGCUGUAAGCCAGAUCAAGCUGAAUUGAAAAAGUAAAAGAACAGGUAUAUUUUGAGUAAAGCAACUCCUGGGUGAGUCCUCCAAACCCAGAGAUCGGCCAAAGAAGCCAUGCGUCCCAACUAAAGCAGGGAGCAUAUAUACCCUGCAGGCGAGACAGACUUGUCUUCCACAAGCUGGGUUUGUGCCCACGCGUGGUCAAAAACUGACUGCUUUAGGCGGGGUCUUGGGCUACUGGCAACUUCCGGGGAGGAGCUGCCGAAGUCUCCAAGAAUUCGGAACUGGGCUUUUUGGUGCCUUUCUGCUUUGUUGGAUAUUCUCUGAGAGGGUGGGAUUUGGAGAGAGAAGAAUCGGACUUUCCAGAUCAAGCUUGAGUGAACUGGAGGUUCCACCCAAACAGAUCUGUGCAUGUGAAUGCAGUUAUCAACAGAAGCCAGGGAUGUUGGAUCCCUGGAGAUGGAGUUGGAGGUAUGGGCCUGCUGCUGUGAGCUGGGAACCCAGCUCUGGUCCUCUGGAAGAGCCUUAAUACUCAACCACUGAACCGUCUCUGCGGCCCAGUGGUAGAUGUUUAAAAAGACUCCAAAGUGCCAUGCUGUGGAGAUGCAGGGAUGCGUGUGGCCAGAUGGUAGGAAAUGACAAGGUAGGAAGGUGAUGAGGAACUUCCUGUGUGGGUCACAGCUUCUCAUCACUGAGGCUUCAGGGCGGGAGCCUAGAGAGGUCUAGGGGUGUGGCUCAGUGGCACAGUUUACACGAGGCCUUGGAUUUGGAUCUUCAACACUACAGAAAAGUAAGAAAAAAGCAGGUAGGGAAAACCUUAUCCUUACCUGUAGCUGGGCCUGGUGAUGCGGGUCUCUAAUCCUGCUCCAUUCUUUUGCAGGUGGGAUCAGCCUUCUCACAGGCUUGGGACAGGAACAGCACCUAGGACCUAGGGAGCCGACAAUUUCCUCAGGGAGAGAAGGAAAUGGAAGAGAGGACUUGUCCAGAGGCACCCUGUUCCGCGGCACAUCAGAGACUACAUCUUCCUUUGUUUGCCUGACUAACCUCCAACUUCUUGCCUCAUGCCAUCCUCCUGCCUCAUCUGGGAAUGUAGGCACUGGCUACAGCUUGCACCAGAGCUGAGACUUAAUAUUGUCUCUUAAUACAAAAUA